rnacentral:lncRNA from 1 species
CAAGUAAUUAUUGCUCCACAGAGGUUCUAUUUCAUCAUAAAUUCUACAAUAAUUUAACUUUUUUGUAUAGGAUUUUAAAUGGUCAUGAAAAUUUAAUUGAACAUGUGAUAUUAUUGAAAUUGAUGCAAAACAUUCGUGACAUGGUACGCAAUACUGGUAUUGGAAAAUUCCAUUUAUUUAAUUUGUACAUUAAUAUGGAGGAUAGCUAUUUGAUACAAUCAGAAUAUGUCAUAGAUGGAUUUCAGAUUUUGCUCUAGGGGUUGCCGAAAAUUCGAGGGGGUGCAAAGUAUUUUAUGGGGUGCGCACCGCCCUGCGCCAUAUUUAUUUUUAUUAUUAUUUAUACCAGAUUUAUUUCGAGUGUUGAACAUGAUAUCUCUCCAAGCACCCAUGUAUUUUUCUGUUUAUUAUAUAAAGAACAGUCUUUGAAAAGCGAUAAUUUUAGAGAAAAGCGAUAAUUGAAAAGCGAUUUAUUAUAUAAAGUAUAGUGCUUUAUAGAGACUUCGAGCACUGAUAAAAGUGAUAAUCUCACAUGUGAGAUUAUUCAUGAUGAUCUCGCAUGUGAAAAUUAUCGCUUUUUAAUUAUCGCUUUUCUCUAAAAUUAUCGCUUUUCAAAGACUGUUCUUUAUAUAAUAAACAGAAAAAUACAUGGGUGCUUGGAGAGAUAUCAUGUUCAACACUCGAAAUAAAUGUGGUAUUUCCGCGCACCCAUGUAUUAUUCUCUAUUUAUUCAAGGGGAAAAUUUGCAAAUCUGUUACAUUUUUAGAUUCAUUAAAUAUUUAUAUUGUGGGCAUUAUUAUGAUUGUACAUAAUGUAAGAUACCAAAUAAAAUAGAAAUGUAUGUAGGAUAAAACACACCAAGUGAAGUGGAAACAAAAUUACUAUGAACUUAAGCAGCGGUCAGAAAAAGGAUGAGAGUGCAACUCUCGCGUACGUUUUGACCACCAGUAUGGAUUACAGUCGGAUCUCUAUUAACGGAUACCUCUCUUAAGGUGGAGUAAUUAGCCAUUCCGAAGUUGCUUAGAGGGCUGGGGACGAGUGUUAAUAAGUGCCCGAAUUAAGAAAUGAACCAAAUGACUAAAAAGACCACCUCAAAAUUAGUAAGUAUACAAAGUUUGAAGACGUUUACAUGAAUACCCUUCGAAUAAUAAGCUUUCGAAAAUUGUGAAAUUACUGAUUAAGACUAUGUGCACACGGGCGUCGUUUUGCAGCGUUUUCAAAAACGUUUUUGUCCGUAAAAUCGUUUUGACGCCGUAUUCGCACAGCCCAAAGGAAAAUAUCUCGGAUAUAUUAAAUAAACUACAACUUCUGUCGUAAAUUGAUAGUGUUUGUAUCCGUUUUAGCGUGAAAACACAAAUGAAAACGCUCGAAAACGUCACCGUGUGCACAUAGUCUAAAAGAUUGCUUUUGGGACGCGCGUCCCCAAAACAAAAAUUACAAUACAUUUCAUAGUAAAUAUCCGGCAGUAAAUAUCACGAUUUUCGAAAGCUUAUUAUUCGAAGGAUAUUCAUGUAAACGUCUUCAAACUUUGUAUACUCACUAACUUUGAGGUGGUCUUUUUAGUGAUUUGGUUCAUUUCUUAAUUUGGGCACUUUUUAACACUCGUCCCCAGUCCACUCAUCAACUUCGGAAUGGCUAAUACGGGCAACAAAAUUGCUGCAACUUGCAACAAAAUCAGAUUUCUGCUCAUGUUACAGUUGAUUUCACAUAACUUUUCCGUGAAUGUUGCGAACUUCGUUCCGAACUUCGUUGUUCAAAACUUCAUACUGAAAUUCACAAGCCAGUUUGUAAACAAAGCCUCUAAUUGGCUUAUUUUUGUUAAGGGACCAAACAGAGGCUUUGUUUACAAACCGAUUUUCGGACCGAAGUUCAGUGUGAACUUUUGAACUUCACAACGAAGUUCGGAACGAAGUUCGCAACGUUCACGGAAAGGUUAUGUGAAAUCAACUGUAAUUGUUUAUGUUUACACAUAAAUUACAAAUCACGAGGCAACAUGUCAAUGUUGAAAUCAGAUUUUGUUGCAAGCUGCAGCGAUUUUGUUGCUCGUAUUAAUACUCGAGCUUCAAGGCCCGUUUACACUUGCAGUUUUCGCUGAGAUUUCUAAUGCGACUUUCCCCUUCUGAUGCAUGUGAACGAGUAGAUGAGUUAUGAAUGUUCAGAGUACAUUAACCAUAGAUAUAGGAGAUCUAGAUUGCUAACGCAUACCUAGCGCAGGCGGGGCCUACAUGAUAAAUCCAAGAUGGCGGUACAACAGGGCAAAACGACUAUAAACUCUAUUACGAAAAUCAGAAUUUUGCAUUUUUUGCCGUCGCAUUGUUUUGAAACUUAUUCGGUCAAAUUUUAUGGUAAAGAGAAACUUACCGCGAAGAUUUUGAGCAUAUAUAUGAUUGAAUUGGAUGAAAAAUCGCAAAAUUAUCCAGCGAUAAAAGUUCGUGUAUAGUACUGAUAUAGUACUAUAUAUGUAAAUUGUACAGUUUUGCUUUAAUUUUUGCUCACUAUUUGCAUAAAAAGCAAAUUAUAACAGACCUUAGAUGAUAGACCCUCAUCCAGUGCUCUCAUCAGUUUACUUCUCUAACAAGCAAGGAGGGGGGGGGGGUACAUAACAGUUCAUUUUUCAUAAUUAUGAGGACAGAGCAGAUGAUGAUGAGAGAUGCAAGUAUAAAACACCAUUCACAAGGCUAGAUGUUAACAUAGCACAGUAUUUCUGGCAAUAAAACGCUCCAACUGACCAUUUCACACGAACUUUUAUCGCUGGAUAAUUUUGCGAUUUUUCAUCCAAUUCAAUCAUAUAUAUGCUCAAAAUCUUCGCGGUAAGUUUCUCUUUACCAUAA